rnacentral:lncRNA from 1 species
CAAGUCAGUUUACUUGGUUCACAGGUUCCCAGGCCCACCCAGGUGCCUAGAAUUGGCCUCCAGGAUGGGACCAGAAAGCUGGUUUUGCAUAGAAAUGGCUAGCAGCAGGCACCGUGCCGCUGUCCACUCUCUGCCUGUGUCUGCCCCAGCACUUGGCACAGCGGGACAGAAGCAGAGAUCUGAAUAGUCAACCCACUCUUCACAAAGCUUAGAAAGCGGCCGGGCACAGUGGCUCAUGCCUGUAAUCCCA